UCUGAGGAGGAAGAGUUCAACAUUUAUUUAUCUCCAUUUUUGUCUUCACCUACUGCAGCAAACAUCCCAGAAUACUCACAGAUGGUGUCCAGCCAUAAGCGGUUGGAGGUCUCACUGUUGACGGGGUUGGUGACAGCACAGCGGUACCAGCCCGUGUGGUUGCGGUUGACGUUGGUGACGUUGAUCACGCUGCUGUUUCCCUGGGCAACGGUUGAAACAUUGCCUCUGUGAGUUUCAUGCUGCCACACAUACUGGAUCGGCCCGGUCCCGUUGUCCAGGUUACAGCGCAUCCACAUCGUAGAUCCUUCCACUGGAGACGCGUCACUCAUCAGGAGAUGUGAUGAACAUCAGGACCUCAAGACAAAGACAAGACAAAGAUUCAGUGGAAUUAAAGCGUGUCUUACCCUCGGUGUCUGUGGUGACGAGGCGGCUGCACAGGAAUAGAAAGGUCAGGCCUAACAGUGGAGCCACCAUGGUAUCAUGAUGAUCGCGAGUCCAACCACUGCAUUACUCCAAGAACAUGCAGGGAACGUGGUGUAUUCACAGAUGUACGUGGACUCGUCAGCGAGGCGGAGCGAGGAGAAGGUGAUGGUGGUGUCCUCGAGGGUCGGAGUUCGUCGCCGCACCGCCGCGUUCUUAAAGGUCACGCGGUCCCUGUAGGACGGGGCCACAGACACGCCGAGGGAGGGGUUGGCGAUGGCCACGUUCUGCUUGGUGCCGUUCACCAGUUUCUGCCAUGUGACCUUCAAGAGUGAACAGUGGUGAGUGAACUUCACACAACACACAGGUGAUUAGUCGUUAACUGAGUCAAACAGGAAGCACAACCUGAGGACAUGAGUCAUGUGUGAGUGUGUUAUUACGUUGUGUGUAAAGAGUAAAAAGUACAACUAUUAACACAAUUCAACACAAACAUAGAUGAGGUUUCACACAGUGGAUUAAAUACCUGUGAGAUUUUGACAGGUGGAGAACUGUUGAUGAAGCGACAGCGGAGAUCCACCUUUGAGCCGACAAACGCCCACUUCCCGUCGUCCAUCUCCACAGUCUGACUCUGGACUCCUGCAGGAUUUAAAUCAUCACACUCAGACUGUGAAGCUGCAGGAACGUGAGAGGCUUUAGGUGAAGAGUCCAUGCUGCUCUGUGUCCUCCUGUCCUCCUGUCCCUGUGUCUCACAGACUACAGGAAGUGACCUCAUCCGUCCUCCUGACAAUAAUCCAUAAACAGCCACACGGUGGUUGUAAUGAGGAAAAUCCACAGUCCCAUGUUUUCCAUCCCAGAGUUUCCAGCUCCUGUUUGUG